UACAGGGGGGGCAAGCGUUGUUCGGAAUUACUGGGCGUAAAGGGCUCGUAGGCGGCCAACUAAGUCCGACGUGAAAUCCCCAGGCUUAACCUGGGAACUGCGUCGGAUACUGGAUGGCUUGAAUUCGGGAGAGGGAUGCAGAAUUCCAGGUGUAGCGGUGAAAUGCGUAGAGAUCGGAAAGAACACCAACGGCGAAAGCACUCUGCUGGGCCGACACUGACACUGAGAGGCGAAAGCUAGGGGAGCGAAUGGG
rnacentral:rRNA from 1 species